UCGGAUGUGGUGCAUGGUGCACUGCCCUAAAAUCUAGGGAGGUUUUUCCAAAAAAAUAUCUGGGGCAAGAUGGGGUUCGAUUCCCCGCAUCCGAA